rnacentral:rRNA from 1 species
CCUACGGGGGGCAGCAGUGGGGAAUAUUGCACAAUGGGCGCAAGCCUGAUGCAGCCAUGCCGCGUGUGUGAAGAAGGCCUUCGGGUUGUAAAGCACUUUCAGCGGGGAGGAAGGCGGUGAGGUUAAUAACCUCAUCGAUUGACGUUACCCGCAGAAGAAGCACCGGCUAACUCCGUGCCAGCAGCCGCGGUAAUACGGAGGGUGCAAGCGUUAAUCGGAAUUACUGGGCGUAAAGCGCACGCAGGCGGUCUGUCAAGUCGGAUGUGAAAUCCCCGGGCUCAACCUGGGAACUGCAUUCGAAACUGGCAGGCUAGAGUCUUGUAGAGGGGGGUAGAAUUCCAGGUGUAGCGGUGAAAUGCGUAGAGAUCUGGAGGAAUACCGGUGGCGAAGGCGGCCCCCUGGACAAAGACUGACGCCCAGGUGCGAAAGCGUGGGGAGCAAACAGGAUUAGAUACCCCUGUAGUC